UUUUUAGGUGAAGAAGCUUGCAUAAAAUUAAAAGACAAGAAGAGCCUAUCGAGCUUGAAAGCAAUUAAUAGGACAGCAAAUAAUAACUUUAAAAAAUUAACUAUUAAAUAUUUUAGUUGGGGCGACUGAGGAACAAGAAAAGCUUCCUUUUAAGGUACUCUUUAGAACUUAGUAAGUAUUGAUCCAAAAUAUUUUGAUUAAAAAAAUUAGUUACCGUAGGGAUAACAGCAUUAUCUUUUUUAAGAGUUCUUAUCGAAAAAAAGGUUUGUGACCUCGAUGUUGGACCAGAAUAUCCUAAAGAUGCAGCAGUCUUUAAGGGUUGGUCUGUUCGACCAUUAAAAUUCUACG
rnacentral:rRNA from 1 species